rnacentral:rRNA from 1 species
UACGUAGGGGGCAAGCGUUGUCCGGAUUCAUUGGGCGUAAAGAGCGUGUAGGCGGCCAGGUAGGUCGGUUGUGAAAACUGGAGGCUCAACCUUCAGAGGUCGACCGAAACCAUCUGGCUAGAGUCCGGGAGAGGAGAGUGGAAUUCCUGGUGUAGCGGUGAAAUGCGCAGAUAUCAGGAAGAACACCCGUGGCGAAAGCGGCUCUCUGGAACGGUACUGACGCUGAGACGCGAAAGCGUGGGGAGCGAACUGG